rnacentral:ncRNA from 1 species
UCCCUGCUUUUCCUCCCUGAGCAGGUGCCUUACCGUGAUGACAGCGUGAAGGCUUGCAAGCCCCGGCCUCUGGCCGGGGCUCUUUUUU